UACGUAGGGUGCGAGCGUUAAUCGGAAUUACUGGGCGUAAAGCGUGCGCAGGCGGCGCGUUAAGACAGGUGUGAAAGCCCCGAGCUUAACUUGGGAAUUGCGCUUGUGACUGGCGUGCUGGAGUGUGGCAGAGGGAGGUGGAAUUCCACGUGUAGCAGUGAAAUGCGUAGAGGUGUGGAGGAACACCGAUGGCGAAGGCAGCCUCCUGGGCCAGCACUGACGCUCAUGCACGAAAGCGUGGGGAGCAAACAGG
rnacentral:rRNA from 1 species